rnacentral:snRNA from 1 species
AUCGCUCCUCGGCCUUUGGGCUAAGAUCAGGUGUAGUAUCUGUUCUUUUUUUUUUUUUUUUUAGUAUCUGUUCUUAUCAGGGUAAUAUCUGAGCUGUCCUCUAUCCGAGGAUGGAUUUUUGGACUUAGGAGGUGGAAUAGGAGCUUGCUCCGUCCACUCCACGCAUCGACCUGGUAUUGCAGUACCUCCAGGAACGGUGCACUCCCU